UGGGUGGGGAGGUGUGACCUUAUUAAUAUGGGUGGUGAGGUGUGUCCUGAUUGAUAUGAUGGUGAGGUGUGACCUGAUUAAUAUGGGUGGUGAGGUGUGACCUGAUUAAUAUGGGUGGUGAGGUGUGUCCUGAUUGAUAUGAUGGUGAGGUGUGACCUGAUUAAUAUGGGUGGUGAGGUGUGUCCUGAUUGAUGUGAUGGUGAGGUGUGACCUGAUUAAUAUGGGUGGUGAGGUGUGACCUGAUCAAUAUGGGGGGUGAGGUGCGACCUGAUUAAUAUGUGUGGCGAGGUGUAACCUGAUUAAUAUG
ensembl:lncRNA